CCCUCUGUUGUUCAGCUCUGAACAUAAAGUUUUGUUUCCGAGGAAAUGAAACCUUGCUUGCUAUAAAAAUCAGCCCAUUUCAGAGCAGACACAGGGCAGAUAAAGACAUGGACCCCGGUGAGUCAUGUCUUGUUUUGAUCCCUUCUGGGAGCUGCUGGUUUCACCUCAGCAGGAAUAGCUGCAGGCAUGAUGUCGUCUGCUGCAGUUGCUAAUGGAGGAGGAGUGGCAGCUGGAAGUGUGGCAGCUGCUUUGCAGUCAGCAGCUUCUUUGUGUCAUGGUGCUGCAGGUGCAGCUGGUCUGUCAGCUACUGCUGGUGCUGGAGCAGCAGUGGGAUGGUUGGCCUCUUAAAUCAUCCCAGGUGAACAAGUGCAAUGAUCAAGAGGGGAGCUGCUGCUAACUGGUGUGACUGAUAAGAUCUGACCUAUAGUGCUUCUCAGGGUUUAUCAUAUGAGGGAAAGCAGGGGAUACACUUGGACUUCAAUAAAAAAGCUGAACCAGACUUCCUGUAUAGAGGUGCCCGUCCUGCAGAUCAACAAUCCAGCCUGUCUUAUCAAAGCAAGAAACCUUCAGAGGUUGCAAAGGUACAGACAUUCUGUAUUUUUCACGAGUUGUCAUUGCAGAUUUCCAUCCUCUAUACUCAGUAUACUGUUAAUGCCUUUGUAUCUUUUAAUGCCUGUUUAUGUCUUUAUACUAGACACUAUAAAGUUGGUGUGAAGGUGGAAUUCAGUGAAGGAAUCUAAGCAUCAUCAGCUUAACUUCAAAUUCACCUCUAUUUCACUUGAUGUAACGUAACUCUGAUCACAGCCACUGUAAUAGACGGGCUCAUAGAUGGACUUUUUUUUAAAAUCUUAAACUUUAAUUUACAUUUGACCUUUUGUAUUGUCUUUAUUGUCUGACUGAGUACCUGAAGUUCUGUUUAUUUAAGCCCUUUCUGUACAGUGCUUUGUGACUGCUUUUCUAUGAAAAGUGCUUAAUAAAUAAACCUUACUUAC